rnacentral:rRNA from 1 species
UACAGAGGGUGCAAGCGUUGUUCGGAAUCAUUGGGCGUAAAGGGCGUGUAGGCGGUUUGUUAAGUCAUGUGUGAAAUCCCUCGGCUCAACCGGGGAACGACGCAUGAAACUGGCAAGCUAGAGUACCAAAGAGGGGGGUGGAAUUCCCGGUGUAGUGGUGAAAUGCGUAGAUAUCGGGAGGAACACCAGUGGCGAAGGCGACUUCCUGGCCUGUUCUUGACGCUGAGGCGCGAAAGCUAGGGUAGCAAACGGG